rnacentral:tRNA from 2 species
GCGGGCAUAGCUCAGAUUGGUAGAGUACAAGCUUCCCAAGCUUGGUGUCGCGGGUUCGAGCCCCGUUGCCCGCUCCA